CCCGCGCCGCCGCCAACUCUCCCCCGUUCCUCCCCUUUCCGCGCGAGCGGCGAGCCGGCGGGCGGCGGCUGUCGGAGGUUCGCCUCGCCUCGCCUCCUCUCCCGCGCCGCCGGCGAGAAGGCCCGUAGGUUUUCACGAUCCGAAGCGGCUCCGGCUCGCGAACGGCGGCGUCGAGCGGAGCCCAGUCGGGAGGGGAGAUGGCGCGGCCGGAGGAGAAGCUGCGGUGCACGAAGGAGCCCUUCAUCGAGGAUGUCGGCACGCGGAGGAUAAAGAGCAUCCGGUUCAGCAUGUUCUCGGGGAACGAGGUGCGCCAAUCCGCGGAGGUGCAGGUUUGGAACAGCCGGAUCUACAACCAUGAGAUGAAGCCGGUGCCCAAUGGAUUGCUCGACACGCGGAUGGGUGCGGCAAACAAGCUUGGGGAGUGCAGUACUUGCCAUGGUUCAUUUGCUGAAUGCCCGGGUCAUUUUGGUUACUUGAAGCUCGCCCUUCCAGUUUUUAAUGUUGGAUUCUUUAACUGUAUUUUGGAUGUAUUGAAGUGCAUCUGCAAGAGCUGCAGCAGGGUUCUUCUUAUGGAGAAAGAUCGGCUAGAGUUUUUGAAGAAAAUGAGAAAUCCCAAAGCAGAUCCGCUACAGAAAAGUGCUAUCAUGAAAAAAGUGAGGGACAAAUGCAAACUAUCCCGUUGCCCCUGGUGUGGAUUCAUAAAUGGUGUUGCUAAAAAGGGCAGAGCAGGGUUGAUUAUUCUUCAUGAUUGUAGCAAAACAUUGGAUGGAAGCACAGAAGAGCUUCGGGACGCACUAUCACAUAAGAAAGAGAAACUAUCUAUUAGUGCUGUUCGCAUGCUAGACCCUGCAAUUGUUCUAUCUCUUUUCAAAAGAAUGACCGAUGAGGAUUGUGAGUUGCUAAACCUCGGUGAUAGGCCUGAGAAACUUAUUGUGACAGAGAUUGCAGUGCCACCUGUACCUAUACGUCCUUCUGUUUUCGUGGCUGGUGGAAGAAUGAGCAAUGAAGAUAGCAUUACCGUCAUAUUGAAGAGUAUUGCUAAUACUAAUUCCAUCCUUAAGGAGAACCUUCAAACUGGUGGUCAGUUCAUGAAGUGCUUUGAUUGCUGGCAACACCUUCAACUUCAAGUUGUUGAAUAUAUCAACAGUGACGCACCCUCUCUUCCCGAGUCACAACAUCGAGGCCUUGUUCAGCGACUCAAAGGGAAGACAGGCCGAUUUCGUGGUAACUUGUCUGGAAAACGUACCGAGUACACUGGAAGGACUGUCAUUUCUCCUGAUCCAAACUUGAGAAUAACAGAGGUGGCUAUUCCCAUCCUGAUGGCUCGAGUUUUGACUUAUCCUGAAAGAGUUUCAUACUAUAACAUAGAGAAGCUGCGUCAGUGUAUACGGAAUGGUCCACACAAACAUCCAGGGGCAAAUUUCAUCAUACAACCUGAUGGAACAAAGCUGCACUUAAAGUAUUGCGAUAGAAGAAUUGCUGCUCGAGAUUUGAAGUAUGGCUGUGUAGUCGAAAGGCAUUUAGAAGAUGGAGACAUUGUCCUCUUCAAUAGACAACCGAGCUUGCAUAGAAUGUCAAUUAUGUCUCACAGGGCUAGGAUUAUGCCCUGGAGAACACUAAGGUUUAACGAGUCUGUCUGUAACCCAUAUAAUGCUGAUUUUGAUGGCGAUGAGAUGAAUUUGCAUGUUCCUCAGACUGAGGAAGCCCGCACUGAAGCGCUUAUGCUCAUGGGGGUUCAGAACAAUUUAUGUACCCCAAAGAAUGGGGAAAUACUGGUUGCAUCCACGCAAGACUUUUUGACUUCCUCUUUUCUGGUUACAAGAAAAGAUAACUUUUAUGACAGGUCGUCAUUUUCUCUCUUAUGUUCAUAUCUUGGUGAUGCAAUGGAAAACAUUGAUUUGCCAACACCUGCUCUGAUUAAGCCUAUUGAGCUUUGGACUGGUAAACAACUCUUCAGUGUGUUAGUACGUCCUAACGCAUGUACAAAGGUGUUUCUGAAUCUUACUGUUAAAGAGAAAAUUUAUAAGACUCCUAAGGGUUCAACUCUGGAACCUGAAGCAAUGUGUCCCAAUGAUGGUUUUGUCUACUUCCGAAACAGUGAACUUCUAUCUGGGCAAGUUGGGAAGGCCACUUUAGGUAAUGGGAAUAAGGAUGGCAUGUUCUCCACUCUUGUAAGAGAUUAUAAUUCUCAUGCUGCGGCAAGCUGUAUGAACCGCUUGGCAAAAUUUAGUGCAAGAUUUAUAGGGAACCAUGGUUUCUCAAUUGGUGUGGACGAUGUCCAACCGGGAGAACAUUUAAACCAAGAGAAGAAAAUGAAAAUAGAUGGAGGGUACAAAGAUUGCCAUGAUCUUAUUGCUUCCUAUUCCAAAGGUGCACUCCGUUUGCAGCCCGGUUGCAACGCAGCCCAAACAUUGGAGCAAAGUAUAACUCGUGUACUGAAUGAAAUCAGAGAAGAAGCUGGAAAAGUCUGUAUGAAUACACUUCACUGGAGGAACAGCCCAUUGAUCAUGUCUCAGUGUGGAUCUAAAGGUUCUCCAAUCAACAUUAGUCAGAUGGUUGCAUGUGUUGGCCAACAAUCAGUUGGAGGGCGUCGUGCCCCGAAUGGCUUCAUAGAUCGAACUCUUCCCCACUUUCCUAUAAAUUCAAAGACUCCUGCAGCCAAAGGCUUUGUCGCUAAUUCUUUCUAUACUGGCUUGACUGCCACCGAAUUCUUCUUCCAUACGAUGGGUGGGCGAGAAGGUCUUGUUGAUACAGCGGUUAAAACAGCUGAAACAGGAUAUAUGUCCCGCAGAUUAAUGAAGGGAUUGGAAGAUCUCUCAGUUUUCUAUGAUCAGACGGUCCGCAAUGCUAGUGGUGGUAUUGUACAGUUCCUCUAUGGAGAUGAUGGCAUGGAUCCUGCAAAGAUGGAAGGGAAAGAUGGAAAGCCCUUAAAUUUGGAUCAAUUGUUUAUGAAAGUCAUGGCCACUUGUCCUCAAAGGGGACAGAAUACAUUAUCUCCAGGUGAAAUCUUACAAAUUUUAAAUGACAAGCUCUCUGAACAUGAUGCCUCCUCUGAUGAUGGUUGUAGCGAAAAGUUCAAGCAACUGUUAACGUAUUUUCUUGAGGAUCGUAUAAAAUUGCUGAAGAGCACAAGGAGAGCGCUUCUCCUAGAUGAAGAUCAUGUUGGAGAGAGGCACUCCAGCUUUGAAGAAUCCAUUGCUGCUAAUAUUUCUGGUAUAUCUGUGAAGCAACUACAGGUUUUCUUGGACACAUGUUUAUCUCGUUACCACUUGAAGAAAAUUGAAGCCGGAGCAUCAAUUGGGGCAAUUGGGGCUCAAAGUAUUGGAGAGCCUGGAACUCAGAUGACAUUGAAAACUUUCCAUUUUGCAGGAGUAGCUAGCAUGAAUGUUACUCUUGGUGUUCCUCGCAUCAAGGAAAUUAUCAAUGCUGCUAAAAAGAUAAGCACACCUAUUAUCACUGCUGAGUUACUUUCUGAGAAGGAUGUGUUGUCUGCACGCAUUGUGAAAGGCUCUAUGGAAAAGGCAGUGCUGGGUGAGGUGGCUGAAGCCAUAAAGAUUGUGUUGAAAUCAAGUCAACCAAACUUGGUUGUUAAACUCGAUAUGCAACGUAUAGAAGCCCUGCACAUGGGCAUCUCUGCUGACUCUGUGCAGCUGUCAAUAUUGAAUCAUCCAAAAAUAAAGCUAAAAUCUGAGCAUGUUCGUGUUAUUGAUAAAUCCAAGUUGAGAAUUUAUCCAGCUGGAAUAGAUAAGUCCAAACUUCUAUAUGAGUUACAUCAUCUCAAAUCCAUGCUUCCAAAAGUGAUCGUGAAGGGUAUUCCAACUGUUGAAAGAGCUGUGAUCAGCGAAACUGGUGAAGAAAAUGACAAAAGAUACAAGUUGUUGGUUGAGGGAACAAAUCUCUUGGCAGUAAUGGGUACUCCAGGAGUUGAUGCUAUGAAAACAAAAAGUAACCACAUCAUGGAAGUGAACCGAACACUCGGAAUUGAAGCUGCGAGGAGAUCUAUUAUUGAUGAAAUUCAGUAUACAAUGAAAAGUCAUGGGAUGAACAUUGAUUCGAGACAUAUGAUGCUUCUGGCAGAUUUGAUGACAUACAAGGGUGAAAUUCUUGGCAUUACUAGAUAUGGUAUUGCAAAAAUGAAAAGUAGUGUGCUGAUGCUGGCUUCGUUUGAGAAAACAGCGGAGCAUCUCUUUAAUGCAUCAUACAGUGGUCGUGAGGAUCAGAUAGAGGGAGUUAGUGAAUGCAUUAUCAUGGGUAUACCCAUGCAACUUGGCACUGGUAUUCUCAAAGUCAGACAAAGGCUUGACCAUUUGCCUGAAUUUAAAUAUCAGCCUGAUCCAAUAUUGGCGUGAUACAAGCUAGAAGCCUAGAACCAGCUUAAUUUGUCUGAAGCUGGAAUUCUGUACAGAUAUAUAGAGGGGUUGGAUGUAUAAGCAUGUAUAAGCAUCAUAUAGCAGGGCAGCUACGGCAACUGUAAUUUGAGGCAAGUAUGCACUGCUGAGGUAGCAUUGGGGCAAAACUCCCUUUUUUCUGAUAGUCCACCGUAUGUUUCAGCUUAUUUUGGUUUCAAUCCCCCAGGUUUAUUCUGUUUCCAGAGCAGGAUUAGUUUAAAGUUCAAACAUAUACUAGCUAGGUGCAGUGUGCCACAGUUUGAUUAGAAUUGGGCCCGCUCAUUGAACUUUUCUAAAGAAGGAAAAAAUGGUCCCUGGUCUAAUGUCAAAAGCUUGAGCAGAACAAACUCUCACCUGUCAACAACACAUUUGAUCUGCUAAUGCUGCUGCUGCCGUCAUGCACCAACAAGAGAAGAUCGCCUGGAAAGUAAGGAAAGAGAUCAAGGAGCUCAUCUAGAAGGUAUGUUGAUCGCUUUUGUUAACUUGUUACUCUCACUCCACGGGUCGGUCGGCGUGUCGUGUGAGAUCGGUGCUGCAUCCUCACCUACUCUCCCCUCCAUUCCUCCCCGAUCUGUCAAGAUCUCGCACGACUUCGUCGUCGUUUCUUCCUUUGUCUGACCGACGGAAUAGCAUAUGCAGAAUGCAACUGCAUAUGCUCUGCAAAUUGCUGCGAAUGUACUACGCUCCUGACCGAUUCACAUCAGGGAGGAGGAAACGAGGGUUGGUACGAUGGAUGAGAGUCCGGAAUAUACAUUUUCUGAUUCUUCUUUCGUCAGACGCCGACAUACAUGACCCGUCAGUAAAGGACCCUGGUUCCUUUUGUUUGACGUAAUGACAUGUCGCCGAAAUUAAGAGGAGAGGAUGAGGAAGAAGCCAUCUUGAAAAGUGAGAACCGAUACGAAAUGUGCGUUUUCCGGAGGGUAAUUUGGAACCAUACCAUUAUAAUUUUGUAAAGUUUAAGAUAUGCCAUCGGUAUCUUAAUGACAUGUAGAACCCACAUAAGUCAGUUGGAUGCGUCUUUUUCCGACGUUUUUUC